AGUGUCAGAAAGCGCAGAAAGCAGAAGCAAAAAAAAAACAAAUUAUUCAGUUGUCAACAAAACUUCACGCACAAACUUUGAACCCGGUGCCGGAGGUGCCUUGACUGCAGCAUUUUUUCAGAUUGCUGGAAAAUGUAGAAUCUCAGGAUAGAAAAGAUGUAUAGAACGCGCUACUAUUAAAGCGAUGGCCAACUUAUCGUACAACGGUAAACGGAAGAUUUUCUAAAGCUUUGACGAGUUAAAUUUGCACCACAUAACGCCGAAUGCGAUAUUGAUUGGCAGACAACUACUUGCAUUUACCGGUGACACAAUUUUGUUACGCGAAAACUACUUCAAGCUUACAUCGCUGGCCAUAUCCUUGAUCCUCGGAAGUCGUCGUCAUUGGAUGCGGAAAAGAUGUGGCACCCAUCAUCGACUGAUCGGGGGAUCUACCAGAAGAGAGCUGCCGGAAGGAGAAGCACUCGGUGAAUACAAGUACAUAUAAUGAAAUAACAAAUGCAUAAAUUCAAAUACGAAUGACUAUUAAAAUACAUAUCUCUAAAAUGUG